UGAUCGUCGAAUGUAACACGUGUAUUUGAUAUGUAAAGCCACGGAUUAUAUAUUUAUGGACGUUCAAUGAAUAUGUUUACUGCUGCAAUUGUAGGAUAGCUGACGGGACGUUUCAGAAAAUUUUGAAUACAGCAGACCUUAUUUUUUCCUCGUAAAUCUUUGCACCUGGCACUUGUGGUAAAAUGAACAUGCAUGCCGUAGUUUUCAUCCUGUGCAUUGUCUGUACAUCCAACUUCUUUGAUGUUCUACAGGCUAAACCCGUAGAACCGAAACUGCCGAUACAACAGAUUGACAGCAUGCCUGUGGCGUUCAGUUACGCCGCAUCUGACUUCUGUAUCGAGAAACAAUUAUCUGGAGCCGGGGACUUCUGUGUUGAAUUUGAGGCGGAAUGCCACGAGUUCUGUAAAAAAUAACAAGGUUCCAUAGACUAUCAGUGAACACAACAAAAAAUAACAGCGUUCCAUAGACUAUCAGAGAUGCCAUGUCUAUAAGUGUGAUUUAAAUACUGUUAAGAACAAAAACGUAACACAUAUUCAUUUGAUGGUUCAAAUAAAGGAAGUUAUUAUUGAUUUUUA